CAACGGUACGGUUUUGUAUGGCCCGUGAGAGGUGAAAUUCUUGGAGCGGGGCUAGACAAAAUACAGCGAAAGCAUUGGGGGGCUGUGUAUGUUAGUCAAGAACAAAAGUCAGAGGUGAAGGAGGGGAGAUACCGCCCUAGGGCUGACAGUAAACGAUGCCAACUAGCGAUCCGCCGAUGGAAAUUAUAUUGCCUUGGCGGGGAGCUUCCCGGAAACGAAAGUCUUCCGGUUCAGGGGGAAGUAUGGUUGCAAAGCUGAAACUUAAAGGAAUUGACGGAAGGGCACCACCAGGAGUGGAGCCUGCGGCUUAAUUUGACUCAACACGGGGAAACUCACCCGGCCCGGACACUGUGAGGAUUGACAGAUUGAUAGCUUUUUCAUGAUUCAGUGGAUGGUGGUGCAUGGCCGUUCUUAGUUCGUGGAGUGAUUUGUCUGGUUUAUUCCGAUAACGAGCGAGACUCUAACCUACUAAAUAGUUGGUACAUACUCUUAGUGUAUACAGCUUCUUAGAGGGAUUUGCGGCGUUCAGCCGAAAGAAAUUGAGCAAUAACAGGUCUGUGAUGCCCUUAGAUGUCCGGGGCUGCACGCGCGCUACACUGGCAAAAUCAACGUGCUUGUCCUACCCUGAAAGGGGCGGGUAAACCAUUGAAAAUUUGCCGUGAUUGGGAUCGGAAAUUGCAAUUAUUUUCCGUGAACGAGGAAUUCCAAGUAAGUGCGAGUCAUCAGCUCGCGUUGAUUACGUCCCUGCCCUUUGUACACACCGCCCGUCGCUGCCCGGGACUGAGCCAUUUCGAGAAAUUUUGGGGACCGUUGAUUUUAAUUUUUCUAAAAUUACUUUGAUGGAAACCAAUUUUAAUCGCAGUGGCUUGAACCU
rnacentral:rRNA from 1 species